GAUGAGAUGGCUGAGUGGUUAAGGCAAAAGGCUGUUAAUCCUUUCUCCUCAGCAUGCAUGGGUUCAAAGCCCAUCCUUAUUG
rnacentral:tRNA from 1 species